rnacentral:rRNA from 1 species
AAUACAUGCAAGUCGAACGGGAUUCAGGGUAGCAAUACCUUGAUGAGAGUGGCGUACGGGUGCGUAACACGUUUGCAACCUACCUCUGACUGGGGAAUAGCUCACCGAAAGGUGGAUUAAUACCGCAUAAUAUUCCAACGGGGCAUCCUGUUGGAAUUAAACCUCCGGGGGUCAGAGACGGGCAUGCGUCCGAUUAGUUUGUUGGUGAGGUAACGGCUCACCAAGACUACGAUCGGUAGGGGGUCUGAGAGGAUGAUCCCCCACACUGGUACUGAGACACGGACCAGACUCCUACGGGAGGCAGCAGUAAGGAAUAUUGGACAAUGGUGGCAACACUGAUCCAGCCAUGCCGCGUGCAGGAUGAAGGCCCUAUGGGUCGUAAACUGCUUUUAUACGGAAAAAACCCCCCGAUGUAUCGGGGGCUGAUGGUACCGUAAGAAUAAGGGUCGGCUAACUUCGUG